UGGGGAAUUUUGCACAAUGGGGGCAACCCUGAUGCAGCGACGCCGCGUGAUUUAGAAGGCCUUCGGGUUGUAAAAAUCUUUUGUAUGGGAAGAAAAUGACAGUACCAUACGAAUAAGGACCGGCUAAUUACGUGCCAGCAGCCGCGGUAAUACGUAAGGUCCGAGCGUUGUCCGGAAUCAUUGGGCGUAAAGGGUACGUAGGCGGAUAAGCAAGUUAGAAGUGAAAUCCUAUAGCUCAACUAUAGUAAGCUUUUAAAACUGCUCAUCUUGAGGUAUGGAAGGGAAAGUGGAAUUCCUAGUGUAGCGGUGAAAUGCGCAGAUAUUAGGAGGAAUACCGGUGGUGAAGGCGACUUUCUGGCCAUAAACUGACGCUGAGGUACGAAAGCGUGGGUAGCAAACAGG
rnacentral:rRNA from 1 species